UUGUGCCACUGCACUCCAUCCUGGGCGACAGAGCAAGACUCUGUCUCAAAAAAAAAAAAAAUUGGAAUGAUACAGAGAAGACUGGCAUGGUCCCUGUGCAAGGAUGACAUGCAAAUUUGUAAAGUGUUCCAUAAAAAA
rnacentral:snRNA from 1 species